rnacentral:rRNA from 1 species
AUGAACGCUGGCGGCGUGCCUCAUACAUGCAAGUCGCGCGCACAGACGAGGAGCUUGCUCCUCUGACGUUAGCGGCGGACGGGUGAGUAACACGUGGAUAACCUACCUAUAAGUCUGGGAUAACUUCGGGAAACCGGAGCUAAUACCGGAUAAUAUAUUGAACCGCAUGGUUCAGUAGUGAAAGACGGUUUUGCUGUCACUUAUAGAUGGAUCCGCGCCGCAUUAGCUAGUUGGUAAGGUAACGGCUUACCAAGGCAACGAUGCGUAGCCGACCUGAGAGGGUGAUCGGCCACACUGGAACUGAGACACGGUCCAGACUCCUACGGGAGGCAGCAGUAGGGAAUCUUCCGCAAUGGGCGAAAGCCUGACGGAGCAACGCCGCGUGGGUGAUGAAGGUCUUCGGAUCGUAAAACUCUGUUAUUAGGGAAGAACAAAUGUGUAAGUAACUAUGCACGUCUUGACGGUACCUAAUCAGAAAGCCACGGCUAACUACGUG